rnacentral:rRNA from 1 species
UACGAAGGGGGCUAGCGUUGUUCGGAAUUACUGGGCGUAAAGCGCGUGUAGGCGGGUCUUUAAGUCAGGGGUGAAAUGCCAAGGCUCAACCUUGGAACUGCCUUUGAUACUGGAGAUCUUGAGUCCGGGAGAGGUGAGUGGAAUUGCGAGUGUAGAGGGUGAAAAUUCGUAGAUAUUCGCAAGAACACCAGUGGCGAAGGCGGCUCACUGGCCCGGA